AGCAGUCGCCGCGGUAAUACGUAUGUCACAAGCGUUAUCCGGAUUUAUUGGGCGUAAAGCGCGUCUAGGUGGUUAUGUAAGUCUGAUGUGAAAAUGCAGGGCUCAACUCUGUAUUGCGUUGGAAACUGUGUAACUAGAGUACUGGAGAGGUAAGCGGAACUACAAGUGUAGAGGUGAAAUUCGUAGAUAUUUGUAGGAAUGCCGAUGGGGAAGCCAGCUUACUGGACAGAUACUGACGCUAAAGCGCGAAAGCGUGGGUAGCAAACAGGAUUAGAUACCCCAGUAGUCCCUGUCUCUUAUACA
rnacentral:rRNA from 1 species